rnacentral:rRNA from 1 species
CGGGGAUAGCCUUUCGAAAGAAAGAUUAAUACCCGAUGGUAUAAUCAGACCGCAUGGUCUUGUUAUUAAAGAAUUUCGGUUAUCGAUGGGGAUGCGUUCCAUUAGGCAGUUGGUGAGGUAACGGCUCACCAAACCUUCGAUGGAUAGGGGUUCUGAGAGGAAGGUCCCCCACAUUGGAACUGAGACACGGUCCAAACUCCUACGGGAGGCAGCAGUGAGGAAUAUUGGUCAAUGGGCGCAGGCCUGAACCAGCCAAGUAGCGUGAAGGAUGACUGCCCUAUGGGUUGUAAACUUCUUUUAUAUGGGAAUAAAGUUUUCCACGUGUGGAAUUUUGUAUGUACCAUAUGAAUAAGGAUCGGCUAACUCCGUGCCAGCAGCCGCGGUAAUACGGAGGAUCCGAGCGUUAUCCGGAUUUAUUGGGUUUAAAGGGAGCGUAGGUGGACAGUUAAGUCAGUUGUGAAAGUUUGCGGCUCAACCGUAAAAUUGCAGUUGAUACUGGCUGUCUUGAGUACAGUAGAGGUGGGCGGAAUUCGUGGUGUAGCGGUGAAAUGCUUAGAUAUCACGAAGAACUCCGAUUGCGAAGGCAGCUCACUGGACUGCAACUGACAC